UACGGGGGGGGUAAGCGUUGUUCGGAAUUACUGGGCGUAAAGGGCUCGCAGGCGGCCAACUAAGUCAUACGUGAAAUCCCUCAGCUUAACUGGGGAACUGCGUGUGAUACUGGAUGGCUUGGAUUUGGGAGAGGGAUGCGGAAUUCCAGGUGUAGCGGUGAAAUGCGUAGAUAUCUGGAGGAACAUCUGUGGCGAAGGCGACACCCUGGACCAGCACUGACACUGAGGCACGAAAGCGUGGGGAGCAAACAGG
rnacentral:rRNA from 1 species